UACGGGAGGCAGCAGUGGGGAAUAUUGCACAAUGGGCGAAAGCCUGAUGCAGCUAUGCCGCGUGUAUGAAGAAGGCCUUAGGGUUGUAAAGUACUUUCAUCGGGGAGGAAAAACAAAACUAAUAAUUUUAUUUCUUGACGUUACCCGAAAAAGAAGCACCGGCUAACUCCGUGCCAGCAGCCGCGGUAAUACGGAGGGUGCUAGCGUUAAUCAGAAUUACUGGGCGUAAAGAGCACGUAGGUGGUUUUUUUAAGUCAGAUGUGAAAUCCCUGGGCUUAACCUAGGAACUGCAUUUUGAAACUGAAAUACUAGAGUAUCGUAGAGGGAGGUAGAAUUCUAGGUGUAGCGGUGAAAAUGCGUAGAUAUCUGGAGGAAUACCUGUGGCGAAAGCGGCCUCCUAAACGAAUACUGACACUGAGGUGCGAAAGCGUGGGGAGCAAAACAGGGAUUAGAUACC
rnacentral:rRNA from 1 species